GUUGCACAAAAAAUCGAUUGUAAUUACGAAAGAUAGCACUAGCGGAGUACAUUUUUGGCAUGCAGGUCCUCGUGAAAAGGUUUAUUUCAAGUCAGAUGAGGUGCGUGCUUUUGCAGUAACAUGUGGGGGAUUGUGUCCUGGGAUUAACACAGUGGUUCGGUAGAUUGUUUGUGGUCCACUAUGGCUUUAACUAUAUGUAUGGUGUGAUGUACUUGGAAUUGAGGGAGGAUACAGAAGGUUUUACUCCAAGAAUACAUUGAAAUUGACACCUAAAGUUGUCAACGAUAUCCUCUAACAUGUUGGGUACUUUUCUUCGUACUUCACUAGGAGGCCAUGAUACAAAUAAGACUGUUGAUAAUUUUCAAGAUCGUGGAAUGAAUCAGGUACAAGUAAAAAGCUAGUUGUCUAUUUCAGAGAAGAAGCGAGAGCAACAAAAAAAUAAAAUAAUAACAAUAAAAGAAGGAAAAAAAUAAAAUAAAAUAAGAAGGAAAAAUAAGGGAAUGCUACAGAAAAAUUAAUGUCUUCCUAUGGUCUAGGCGUAUAUCAUUGGCGGCGAUGGUACUCAAAGAAGAGCAGCUUUAAUUUAUCAGGGAGUUGCAAAACGAGGUCUUCAAGUUUCUGUAGCUGGGAUCCCCAAGACGAUUGCUAAUGCAAUUGCUGGCAGCUGUGGGAGUGAAGGAAAUGGACAAUUCUGGGCCAAUGGAAGUGACUCGACUUGACCUACAUGUGGAGAGAGAAUGUUCAAGUGCUCCUGGGGAAGCAAUGAAAAUCACUUCAAAGGUUAGUAAAAGUAGAGAUUUCUUUUAGUGAAGUCUACAUAUAUAAUCAUCGGUCUUUUUAAGUUGAGAGUAUAUUAUAUUAGUAUAAAGAUAGAGGUUAAAAGGUAGAAUUGCAUGAACAAGUGAUAGUGGAGUCAUGUCUAGAUAAUUUCAAAAUCAUUUAAAAUGAAC